rnacentral:lncRNA from 1 species
ACGUGGCCCCAGGCCGAGGCCCGGGUCGGGGCCCCAUGUUCAGAGCCCUGCCACCCCAGCUUGAGCGUGGUCUUUGGAGCGUUGCCCUGUGAAAAGGGGUGACUUUGCCAUGCUCCUUCCCAGUCUACCUCCUGUUAGUUACAGUUUCUCAUUCCUCUUGAGUAGCAGGCCCUGUUUCUCCACCUAAUCCCUGCAAGUAAACCGUCCCCCAAAUCAAAAUGAGUUCCAUCUGGAACUUUGUAGGAUUGGUCCUAAGAAGAUCCCGCCGAAUCUCUUCACCACUUCCUAGCAGAGCACAGUAAAACCGGGGACUAAGCAAAGUGGCUGACAUGUAGUAAGUGCUCAAGAAAUGGAUGUUGACUAGAUGCUACCUCUCAUCUUUGCCUGUCUGAACUCUCAAGCACCGGAUGCAAGUAGACUGAGAGCCUCCGCCAACCGACUGUCAAUAGCGAUGAGAGAAACAGUCAACUAGCAGUCCACUCGUGAAUGUUUCUUCUGUUUUUGCCAUGGAAGGAUUUUGAAGAACAUUCAUUCAACAAAUUUUUAUUGAUUGUAUACCACAUACCUAGUCCUGGGCCAAGUUUUGACAAUUCAAGAGUGAGCAAGGUAACACUCAAGAUAUUUGUCUUCAAGAAGCUUACAGUCUAGUGAGAAAGAAAGACACUAACCUGGGGACUUUGAGCAUAAAUCUCUGGAAUAUUCACAUUCCUUGUAUAACAAGUAUUCUUUCAUCCUUGGACACUGGGUUUCUCAUCUGUUGAACAAAAUUGGCUUAAACCUGUAAUCUCUGUUCUGUACUGGAAGUGGAAAAUAUUAGCAAGGCAUCCUGACAAGUCUGCCAUAAGUGCUGGCCUAAGUAGUUAAUGAGCAGUUUCAGUAUUGAGCAAGUCACCUUGACUACAUUCUUUUUCCAGCCCACCCCCUUCUUUAUGCAUACAAAAAACAUUUCUAUUGUAAGAAAUGUAAUGCUUUCUUACACAUAUUUUUUUAUCUGUCUACUAGACUACCAAGUCAAGGACCACUUCUCACUUGUAUAUCCAGCAAUCUACUCACUUCUCAUUUGUCUUUGUGUAUCCAGCAGUCUAGCAAAGUGUCUAGUAGUUAGAAAAAAGGUAUUCAUAAAUAUUUCUUAAACUUAGUAAGGUUACCUUUAUAUUAUUUUGUCUCUCAUAUCUCUUUCUGCUGGAAACCAGAUUAGUUUCUGGGAGUUCCUUCCCAUUGAUGUACUUACAUGUUCACUCUGUCCCGAUAUUCAAUACUAAACUGUAUUCCAUACUAAACAGAUUUAUAAUAAGUAACUAAUAUUUAUUAUUAAUAUUUGCUAUGUGCCUGGCAUUAGAUUAAAUAUUUUAAAUCCCAUAUAUAACUUACCACAAUAAUUUUACAAAGUAGGUAUAUUAAUAUAUUUACACUUUAGAUGAGGUUACAGAUUUAGGAAGUGUAAAUUGACCAAGUGGAUUUAAAGCCAGAUCUGCCCAACAGAAGGGCUUGUUUAUUCACUAUAGCACAUCACUUUGCUUUUUAUAUCACUUAUUUAUCAGUGAAUUCAAAUCCUACCAACUCCAUGAAAUCUUUCUUCCUUCCCCACAGUAAUCUUUUUCUUUAUAAACAAUUCAGUGAUUUUAGUAUAUUCACAGAGUUAUGCAUGCUUUACCACAUUCGAUUUUAGAGUAUUUUCACAGCCCCAAAAAGAAACCCCAUACCCUUUGGCCCCAACUUCUCCCUCCUCUCCCCAGCCCUAGGCAACCAGUAAUCCACUUUCCGUCUGUAUGCAUUUGUCUAUCUUGAACAUUUCAUAUAAAUGGAAUCAUGCAAUGUGUGGUCUUUUGUGACUGGCUUCUUUCACUUAACAUGUUUUCAAAGUCCCUUCAUCGGUUGGGUUGUUUCAGCUUUUUGAAUAUUAUGAAUAAUGCUCCUGUUGACAUUCAUGUACAAGUUUUCGUGUCAACAUAUGUUCUCAUUUCUCUUGGAUAUAUACCUAAGAGUGGAAUUGCGGGGUCAUAUGGUAACUCUAUGUUUAACCCCUUGUGGAACUACCACACUGUUUUCCAAAGUGGCUGUACCAUUUUACUUUCUCACCAGCAAUGUAUGAGGGCUCUAAUUUCUCUAUUGUGCCUUUUCUUGUCUCUCUAGAACAUGUGCCUCUCUUACUUUUCAGAAUACUUUUUCCAUGAGCCAUCUUCAAUUAUUAUUCUUUGUUGUACAUGUAUCUGCAAGCCCAUUUUCCUAAUAGUUUGUGACCUUCUGAGAUGAAAAACAUGGUGCCUGCCCUUAAGAGAAUCACAUCUAGAAAAAUAUACAAUCAAAUCAGAUAUUACAGUGAUAAUAAACACUGAAAUAAAGGUUAUUGCUAAAAGGUGGAGAAAGAACACCUCACUCAGCCUAGGUUAAACAGGAAGUACUUCUCAUAGAAUGUAUCAAAGCUCAGGAUUAGUCCUGAAGAAUCUAUUGGAAUUGACCAAGCUAAGGAAAGACAUGAGUAUGCUCCAGAAAAAGGAACAUAUACCUUUGUAUAUAUUUCCUUGUCUAUGAACUGUGGAGGUAAGUAUAUUUUGCAGGUAAGCAUACCAUAGAAGCAAACAUUGUGGUAUGCAGGUAUGCAGCAGGAGAAAUGGGAAAUGUAGAUGUAAGAUGAUGAAGAGUUUUGUAAACUGUGUUAAGGAGUUUGAACUGUAUCCUGAAGGUAAUGGGAAAUUGCUGAAUUAGUUAAGCAAGGUUGGAGAAGAAUUACUUCAGCAGCAGUAUAGAGGAAGGAUUAUUGGGUAGGAGAGACGGGGCCAAGACUAGAAAAACAAACAAACCAGAUAGAAGACAUAAAAUAACUAAAAUGAGGAAUUAAUGACUGCCUGAGCCGAGAUGGUACCCAUGAAAUUGGCAGAAAGGAUUUUAAAGGCACAUGGCCAACAAAAAAGGAGGAAAGAAGCCAGUCACGGUGGCUUAUACGUGUAACCCCAGCAAUGUGGGAGGCUGAGGUAGGAGGAUCACUGGAGCCUGGGAGGUGGAGGCUGCAGUGAGCUGUGAUUGUGCCACUGCAUUCCAGCUGGAUGACAGAGCAAGACCCUUUCAAAAAAAAAAAAAAAAGGAGGAGUAAGAAGAAGAAGAAAGAAUUGAAGAUAUAUUCCAGGUUUCUGGCUGUAGUCAUCAAGAGGAAGAUUGGGCACUUGGUGAUAAGAAUAAUGAAACACUACAAUGAUGGUAUCUUAGUUUGUUCAGGCUGCUAUAGAAAAAUACUGGGUAGCUUAUGAAUGCAAAUUUAUUUCUCACAGGUCUGGAGUCUAAGAAGUUCAAGAUUAAGACACCAGCAGAUUGGAUGUCUAGUGGGGCCCUGCUUUCUGGGUCAUAGAUUGUGCCUUCUAGCUGUGUCCUCAUGUGGUGGAAGAGACAGGGCGGCUCUCUGGAGCCUCUUUUAUAAGGGCAGUAAUCCUAGUCAUGAGGCUUGUGUCCUCAUGAUUUAAUCACCUCCCAAAGGCCCCACCUCCUAACGCUAUCUCAUUGGUGAUUAAGUUUAACAUAUGAAUUGUGGGGGGACAAAAACAUUCAGACCACAGCAGAUAGGUUGCAGGAAUUUAAACUGCCAUUGAAGUUUAUGUGCUGUUGCAGUCACCCACAGAAAUGAGAUGAACCCUCACCCAAACUUUGGCUCCUAUUUCAAGACUUAGCAUACCACAUAUGCACCAACAGGGUAUAAAAAGGUUUAUUACUCACAUAAUGAGCCUUUCUAGGAAGAGUACAGCAGACCUCCUAAGCAGGUUUUAAAAUGACUUGAGAGAGUAGGAGAAAAAGCUAUUGGGAUUUUUUUCAUGGCUAGGACAUGGCGCUUGGGUGAAAAAGCCCACACAGGGCAGGGACUGUAUGGCUCAAAUUUUCCACCAGCACCAAAAUAGGAAAUACCUAUUUUGCACCAUAUUUGGAUCUAGGCAAGCUUUCUCAUCAAGUUGCCUAGAUUCAGAUAUCAUACAAAAGGGAACAGGUGAGGAGCCGGACUUAAAACUUGUUAAGAAUCAAACAUAAAAAAUUAUGUCAGACACAAUUACAUAUUCUUAGAUCUAGUUUAACUGCAACUAACAAUAUAGUUGUUACAUAUAUAUAUGCUUUGAAAGUGAUUAUCAUGGACACUGUAGUUGCAAUCCCAACAUUUAUUCCACUCUUCCCACAUUGUGCAUAGUACACCUAAGAAAUUGAGGUGAAAUUAACCUCACCUUUAUCUCCAAAGUUAGUCCAGUUAAGAUAACCCAAUCCCAACCUACGUUGUUCCCCUGGCCACAAGAUGUUGUUCAGGGUUGAGCAAAUUGGCACCAAUUACAGGACUUUAGCCCCAAAAUUGUGGGCUGUGGCUCCUUUCUCUCCCUUGAUAAAUGAGAAAGCAUGUGGUUCUUGUUACUGAGGGCAGUCAUCUUGUAACCAAGAAAAUAAAAAAGCUGGAACCCUGAUCAAAUAAGCAAAGAUUUAUAACUUUGUAUAUAAGAAGAAGGACAUAAACAGUAAACUGUGAAGGUUUUAAAUAAACACUUUUCUGCCUCCUUCCUUUUAAUCUACUGGUUUCUUCUGUUAUGGCAGCUUUUAGGUCAAAUUAAUACAGAGCUUGAUUUUUCUACUUACCCUCACUGGUACUGAAUAUUAGUUAAGUCAGUUUAAAUUUGUUAUUAUUAUACUUCACCUUAAAAGACUUUAGUGUAUAUAAUUUGAUAUAAAUGUACAUGUGUGUUUCCAGAUUUACCCUACCCUCUAAUGAUUGUCAGUUGCCAUCAUAUAGAAUUUAUACUCCAGGUUGAUAGGUAAUCAGAAGAGCUGCACUCCAAAUGUAGCCACCAUUAGUGCUUAUUAUUAUUUCCCAUUACUGGAGACCUUGCUAAUCAAUAAAAUUAAUGUUAAAAAUAGGUUUUAAUGGGUGAAAUUUGUGGUUCGUUAAUUUAGGUAAUGGAAGUUAUAAAUUGACUCUCCAUUAAUGAAUCAAUGAUGCUCACCAUAUGUAAAUUGGGUAAUGUAUUUCAGAGACGGCUCCUACCUUACGUGAGCAAGGUUAUAAGAAGCUAGCAAACCCUGUAGCCUACACACUUAGAAAUAGCACCCUUCAAAUUUCAAACCUGAAUGUCUAAAAUUUCAGUAAUCAUAGCAUGCCAAAGGUGGAAAAAUUUAAUGUUCUGCUUAACGAAAGGGAGAAUCAUGUUCGUUACGAAGAUUACUAGAGAUACCAUGCCCAUUAUGGAGAUAAGGAAUAAAACGUUAUUGCCUUUCCCUCUACCAUGCAAGUUCAUUUUUUAAAUAUCCCCAGUGAAGAUAUCGGGAUAAGCUAUUAAACUAAAUUUAGACCAGCAGAACAUGAAGGAUUACUAGGAAACAGAAAUUCCAAGAUAAAAAAACUAGGGCUAGACAUGGUCUUUGCCAUGGUUACUUGCCUACAGAAAUAACAAGAAGCAAAUAGUUCUAAAACCUAAUAUUUAAGGGAAAAUGUAUUGUUAAAUAAAUCUCAAGGCUGACUGAUGAUAGCCUGUGACUAUUUAAUGUUAGGAGUAUCCUCAAAUAUCUAAACUCAACCUAAUAGGAGAUGAGCUAGCAAAAUGAUGCAACCUCCCAAAAAGAGGAUCUUCCCCAAUGACCAUCUCAGAUAGGGCAGUGGAGGACAUAGAGAGCAAAAGAGUAACUGCUGAAAGAACACAUACCACUGCCAGCCAACAGUCCUCAUUAUUCCUGUCUACAGAGUAUGACAGGGAUCAGAAACCACUGUGUCCCUUUUUUUUUUUAGACAGAGUUUCGCUUUUGUUGCCCAGGCUGGAGUGCAAUGGUGCCAUCUCAGCUCACCGCAACCUCCACCUCCCGAUUUAAGCAAUUCUCCUGCCCCAGCCUCCCGAGUAGCUGGGAUUACAGGCAUGUGCCACCACACCCAGCUAAUUUUGUAUUUUUAGUAGAGACAGUGUGUCUCCAUAUUGGUCAGGCUGGUCUCGAACUCCCAAGCUCUGGUGAUCCGCCUACCUCAGCCUCCCAAAGUGCUGGGAUUACAGGAGUGAGCCACUGUGCCCAGCCUGUGUCCCCUCUUUAAUUGGGAGUUUUUAUUGCAGUGAUUUUGACCUUUCUUUUUCAUUGCUUUUUGCAUUUUUCAUUUCUUUUUGCAUUUAUUUUUUCAUUGCUUUUUGCAUUUCUUUUUCAUUGCUUUUUACAUUUAUUGCUUUUUGCAUUUAUUAACAUUUGUUGUUAGUUGCUAGACCAUAAGGAAGGAAUUCCAGGUAAACCUAACAUAUUGUAUUAGUCCAAUUUCUUACUGCUAUAAAGAACUUCCAAACACUGGGUAAUUUAUAAAGGAAAUUGACUCACAGGUUUGCACGGCUGGGGAGGCCUCAGGAAACUUACAAUCAUGGCAGAAGGAGAAGCAGGCACAUCUUACAUGGCGGCAGGUGAGAGAGAGAGCAUGAGCCUGUGAAGGAGGAACUGUCAAACACGUAUAAAACCAUUAGAUCUCAUGAAAAUUCGCUCACUAUCACGAUAACAGCAUGGGGGAACCACCCCCAUAAUCCAAUCACUUCCUUCCCUCAACACAUGGGGAUCACAGGUCCCUUCCUCAACACAUGGGGAUAACUAUUGGAGAUGAGAUCUGGGUAGGGACACAGAGCCAAGCCAUAUCACAUAUUGUGGAGUGAGAGAGAGAGUGGGGAAAAGAAAGAUACAUGUUAAUUACAAUGGUUGGGGAGCACAAGAGUAUACUACAGUGGACCUGGUAGUUGUUACUCAAACAUGCAUUUUACCCUCACCCCAUUGUGUAGCUUUCAGCCGUGUUCAAUGAGAUUGACCCCAUCCCUUUUCUAAGGGUGAGUCCUGAUUGGUCUAAGCUAAAAGUUACCCCAACCUCCUUGACACAGUUAUUGUGAGUGGACAACCCUGUCCUAGCCCAAUCAUAGCAUUACCCUAAUCAUAUGAAUUAUUUCAGGGAUUAUCCAACAAGUACAAACCUCAGGACAAUUGUUCGAUAGUUGUCAGGAAGAACUUCCUAUAAGUGAUGAAGCCUGUAACCCCUCCUGCUUUUAACAACUAAUUUGUGACUGUAAAGGAAACCAGUCUGAGGACAAAGCAGAUGCAGACAGUAAAACUAAGUUGAUAUAAUGCAGAGAAAUGGAGCUGAAACUUUGAUCAAAUCAAUUCUAAAGCUUCCUUCACCUCCAUGGGACUUUUCAUUUAUGUGAACAAUCCCUUCUAUUGUUUAAUCUAGUUUGAAUUAGGGUUUCUGUUACUUGCAAUCCCAAAUGUUUUAACUGGUAGAAAGAUUCUGUAUUUCUAACCUCUUAUUAAAUGUUAGAAAAUAAUUGUUUUUUAUAAAAAUGGAAAUGAGCCAUAACUACUUUCUUCUGUGUCCAUGCUCAUGCCAGAAUGAGGCUGAAUAUGAGCUACUGUUCCUGAGUGCAGUUCUCUCAGAUUCCUGCACUACUCAGCUUCCCACAUUAAACCAAUAGAAAAGCAUUUCAAAUAUUUAUUUGUAACACUGUGUAUAUACAAAAUUAAAGAGUAAACUGUGAAAGUUUUAAAUAACACUUUUCUGGCCCUUUCUCUAAUCAGGUCUCCUUUGGAUUCAGUGCUGUACAUAACCCAUUUAUGAAAUCUCCAUUACCUAGGAGACACAUGAUCCCUAACUUCUCACUCUUUGGAAAAUUGUCAUUGGCCACCAUAUUGGCUUGCCUGGUUAACUGAACUCAUAACGGGGCAAGAAUCACUCCCUUAAAUUGCUUCAAGUAUCUCAGAGCCUAAUACAGAAAAGAAAGCCCAAGCAGAAAGAGAAGAGAAGCCAUGAUUUGAUCUGUGUAAUCAUUACAACAAAUUAACAAAAUUAAUUUAUAUGAUAAGUUGCCUUCAACUAUUAUCUCCAAAUAAAUAACUAAAAAAUGUAGUGACUAUCAAUAGAAAGUACAUGUGUCCACUCUAUUUCCUUUAGUCUUCAUUACAUACUUAAAAAACAUAAAUGAACAAAUAACUUUUAUUUGUGAAAUUAAACUUUCUAUAAACAAAAAUUUAUGCUGGAAUAUUUUUUGUAUUCUGGAUUAAACACCUAAAUCAUUCAUAUAAUUUUUAAUCAUUUGUUAAAUAACAUACCUCUGGCUGCUAAAUUUUACUUUUAAAAAAUUCAACCUUUACCCUAGAUUCAGGGUGCACAUGUGCAGGUUUGUUACAAGACUAUAGUGUGCAUUGCUGAGGUUUGGUAUAUGAUUGAAUUCAUCACCCAGGUAGUGAGCAUAGUACCCAGUAAAUAGUUUUUCAACCCUUCCCCCACUUCCUCCCUCUUAUUGUAGUCUCCAGUGUCUAUUGUUUCCAUCUUUAUGUUUGUGUGUACCCACUGUUUAGCUCCCACUUAUAAGUGAGAACAUGUAGUAUUUAGUUUUAUGUUUCUGUAUUAAUUCACUUAGGAUAAUGACCUCCAGCUCCAUCCGAGUUGUUGCAAAGAAUAUUAUUUCAUUCUUUUUUAUAGCAGCAUAGUAUUCCAUGGUGAUUAUGUACCACACUUUCUUUAUCCAGUCCACCAUGGAUGGGCACCUAGGUUGAUUCCAUGUCUUUGCUAUUGUGAAUAGUACUGCAAUGAGCAUACAAGUGCCUUUGUCUUUUUGGUGGAAUGAUUUUCUUUGGGGUAUAUACCCAGUAAUGGGAUUUCUGGAUUGAAUGGUAGUUCCAUUUUUAGUUCUUUGAGAAAUCUCCAAACUGCUUUCAACAGGGGCUGAACUAUGUUACAUUUCUGCCAACAGUGUAUAAGAGUUCCCAUUUCUCUGCAGCCUCGCCAACAUCUGUUAUUUUUGACUUUUAAAUAAUAGCUAUUCUAAAUGGUGUGAGAUGGCAUCUCAUUUUGGGUUUGAUUUGCAUUUCUCUGAUGAUUAGUGAUGUUGAGCAUUUUUUCAUAUGUUUGUUGGCCACAUGUAUAUCUUCUUUUCAGAAGUGUCUGUUCAUGUCAUUUGCCCACUUUUUAACAGGAUUAUUUGUUUUCUGCUUGUUGAUUUAAGUUCCUUAUAGAUUCUGGACAUUAGACCUUUGUUGAAUGCAUGGUUUGUUAAUAUUUUCUCCAACUAAAUGCUACUUUUUAUGAUACGCAUUAAAAAAUCAAAAAGCAAGCUAGGCUUUACAUCUGUAUUUAACUAUUGUAUUGCUUCCUUAGUAGUUACUGCACCACUUUUGCAGAUGUACCAAGCAAUACUCUGGGCAGAAAGCCAGGCAAGAGCUACUACGACUAAGAUAAAUUGAGUUUGAACUAAACUUUUUCAAAAUUUUUGGUGCACCACAAAAUUUACACAUCAUGAGAAAACUCUAAAGUUUGAAAAAUGGAGUUCUAAAGAACACAGUCGAACCCCAAGCAGCACUCUCUUGAGAGUCUGAUCACUCUUUUAACUUGACAAGAACAAGUAAAGUGUUGUAUGUGAGCAGUGGAAGGUCCUCCUGCUUUUUCCUCUUUCUUUAGGUUAGGGAUUUUAUAUGAUCCUAAUGAUAAAAGGGAAUUUUGUGUUCUUAUGUCAAACUUUAACCUAACUUUGAGAAAAAAAUUAUCCAAACAUCUGAAAGAAAAUUAUGUCUAUUAGGCACUAACUCUGCCUGUAAAUUUGUUAUAUUGUCAAUUCAAGAAUAUUUGGCUUCCAAUUUAAAAUAUAAAUAAAGACUAGUCAAAUUUUUCUUUGAUAACAUUUUUAUAAGUUUGAAUACAUAGUUAUAAGGACAUAAAGUCAGAGAGCGUAUCAAGCCUGCAGUUGUCUAAAUCUGCCUGUGGUAGUAAGCUACAAACCCACUGUGUUUUUGAGGAAAAAAGGAAAUUCACUAAGAGCUAAGGCAUUAUUUUGCCUAUUAUACAUACUAUAUAUUAGUUUCAUACACUUAUUAGAAUCUUUGCUUAAGAUAUGUAUCUUAAACCCCAGAGUCAUAUGAUAAUUUGCCUAAUAAUUUUCUAUCAAAGUUAUACAAUUUAACAAAUGUUGAUAAUGCCUUCACUAGAGAUUAAGUAGCAAUAAAAUUGUCUUUUGCUUUAAUGAAGUCAUAUUUUUAGUACAGUUAUGUUUGUAAGAUACCCACAAGUUAAUCUCUUAUGGAAAUAUUUGAUAAUUAAGCUGAGUAAAAUAUGGAUUAUAAGAAUCCUAUUAAAAAUAAUAUGAAUAACAGCAUGCUCUUUGCUAAGAAAAUGUUAUUAGUUCUUAAUCACCAUAUGAUUACCUCUUGCAUAGGCAUCAUUUCCCCAAAUUUAUAAUAAUAGCAUAAAUGUCCAUUGUUAAUCAUCUGUAGUGACAUGAAUAUGCUUUAUAAUCACUACAUGUAGCUAUGGGAUAUAUUAACUCUUAAUUAUAUUUAUUCACUAAAAUACACAUGCAUUUGAGAGAGCAAGUCACUGUCUAUAGAAAUUUACUCUUGUAUUAACCUCAACAAAAUUAUUCUAUCCUGAUUUUCCAACUUUUCAGAUGAUUCUUUAUCCAAUUCACAGUCUCCUUUCACCUUCUUCUUCAUUGUAGCUAUGCUGCAAGUUUCUAUCCUUUGUUCUCUUCUCACUUGGAUUUAGGCAUUCUCUGGUAAUCUUUUCUAUUCAUCACAAACGAUAUCACCUUAACGUAAAUAAUUCUGGAAUACACAUAUAUCUUCUACAUAAACUUAUUUCUCAAUCUACAUUAAUGUAUUCUACAUAUCUACACAAAACCCAUUUACCAUAUCCACAUUUGAUGACCCAGUGAAAGUUUGGUGUUUUUUUUAAUUAUUCGGUCCAGAAUUAUCUAAGAAUAGCUAAGAAUAGAUUUCAGUUAAGACUAGAUUUUAUAGCUGCCUACUAGAUAUGUACAUAGACGUCCCACAAGAAAUUAGAACUUACGUGUUCCAAAACAAAGUUAUCAUCUGUCCUCCACACAACCUAUCCAACCUCCUUGCUCAGUUGCUUUUGUAAGCACUUGCAUUAGUUAGAACAUUAGUUUCAGCUCCUUUAACAAAGACUCCAAAAUAAUUGUGACUUAAACAAGAUAAGUUCUAAUUGUUAUCUCACAUAAAAGCAUAAGCCUAGGCAAUGCAGGGCUGAUACAGUGGCUCCACGUAAGGAGACGCUACUUGACCUCCUUACAUCUUGUUGUUCUCCCAUUUUCAACAUAUGGCGUCCUUUCCACGGUCUAAUAUAAGUGCUCCAAUUUCUGCCAUUAUGUCCGCAUUCUAACUAGCAGGAAAAGGGAAAAGGGGAAGUGAAGGGCAUACCUCUUCUUUAGCAGAGCAGGGCACAGAAGGCAAACAUUUUACUCUCACAUCUCACUGGCUAGAACUUGGCCACAUAGCCAUACCGAGCUACAGGGUAAGUUUCAAACUGCCCUCUUUGUCUGGGCAGCUUUGUGGCCUGCUAAAAUUCGGGGAUUUUAUUACAAAGAGGAGUGGGAUGAUAUAUAGUGUGGAAUAGCCACUGGUUCUUUUCAGAUGCAGUUCCUUAAAUGCUUUCGCUCUCCUUCCUCUACUUCACGGCUGCUACUGCCUUGUUAAUGUAUAUUUAUUCUUUCCAUGUGAAUGCAUAUUGAAUGAUAUUUGAUCCUGUAAUCUAAGUGGGAUGGAAAAGAAUGCAUUCACCAAACUGAAGACCACAUGCCAUGUACCUAAGGCCAUGUUGAUUCACUCUAAUAAAGAUACCACAUCUGGCAUAAUAACUGUCAGGAGGGCUACUACUACUUGGUUGAGCUUGAGGAAGUCUAUAGUCAUUCUUCAGGAUCCAUCCUAUUUUUGCAGAAGCAAGACGAGUGAAUCCAGUGGAUGGGUAUGACCAUUCUGCAUCCUUUAGAUCUGGGGUUAGCAAACUUUUUAUGUACAGGAACAGAUAGUUAAUAUUUUAAGCUUUAUAAGUCAGGUGGUCCUUGUUGCAACCAGUGGGCCCAAUAUAAGCUGAAUCUGGACAGAAUUCCAUUUUUAAAACUGGCCUUCACAUGCUCCAACUAUAAAUUAAGGCCCUAAUGUGUUGGUUCUCCUAGUAUCAGUGUCAACUAAAUGUCCAGCUGGUUCACAUUACCCAAGUGUAUUAGUCCAUUUUCAUGCUGCUAUAAAGAACUUCCCUGAGACUGGGUAAUUUAUAAAGGAAAGAGGUUUAAUAGACUCACAGUUGUGCACAGCUGGAGAGAUCUCAGGAAACUUACAGUUAUGGCAGAAGGGAAGCAGGCACAUUCUUGACAGGAGGCAGGAGAGAGAAUGAGCAAGAGCAGGGAAAACUGCCUUAUAAAACCAUCAGAUCUCAUGAGAACAGCAGGGAGAAAACUGUCCCCAUGAUCCCACCUCCCUCCCUCAACACGUGGGGAUUACAGGUUCCUUCCUCAACAUGUAGGGAUUAUAAUUUCUGAUAAGAUUUGGGAGGGACAGAGAGCCAAACCGUAUCACCAAGUAAAUGGCCUUUGGUCCCUUUGAAGAAGGACUAAGGGAAUCAUUACCAGGUGUACUUGCCAUGGCAUCACAAGGUCCAUCCCCAGGAGGCCUAAACACGUCAAUGAAUGAGAUACAGGUCUGAAAAUUGACUCAGGCCCAUAAACUGGGCAAGGGAUUAUGACACAAUAAAGUAUCACUCUGUUAUUCAUGCUUGAUUUCUUCUAACAGUACAUGCUGAGUGAUUCCAUUGUCACUACCAAUUUAUUUUGUCUCUAGCAUUGUCAAAUUCUAUUAAUAUGUUCCAUAAUUCUGUGGUUCUUUCUGGGCUGCCAUUCUGACCUUGUUGAUGCUUACAAUUAUUUAAAAUCCCUGGCUUCUGGCAGUUAAAUGCCACAACUGGCCUCUGUUUUUCCAGGGUUCUAUCAACUUCUUUGUUACCAAUGAGUCAGGUUCUGUAAUGGCCUCUCCUACAGUGACCUCUGGCCUAAAGAGGAGCAUCACUACUCUGCUUGUUAGUGUUGCUAGUGCUUCUUUCACCAGCUCAUUCAUUACAGCCUUGGUAAACUGUGUAUCCUUUGGGCCUUCCCAUGGAACAUAUUCCUCUCAGUCUUCCAGCCUUAUUUGUAUUUUCAUUCCAGCAUGCUUAUUUUCCUCAGCCUUUCCCUUCCUCAACCUUCUUCCAUGGCAAUCCCAGCAUUUCAACUUUGCUUAUUAUUAACCAUCUAUCUUAGUGGGCAUAUAACCAUCUUUGAAGUUCAGCUACUCUGACUAUAAAGUCUAGUCUUGGUCUUCACCUUUCUCCAGCCUCCUCCUGCAGGAAAUGAGAGCUUCUUUUUUAUGCAGCCAAAGAGGCCCUCUGACAAUCUCACUUGGUUUUUAAUUGCUUGUUAUUCGCUCUGAUUUUUUCAUUAUCUUUGUGUAGAGCAUCAAUACCGCUUAGCAAUAGCCAUCCAAUUCCUUUAUCUUUAUCGCUACUUUAUUCCCCAUACAUCUCAAAUAUAUCUGAUUCAUCUGGCCAGUUCACAAACAGUGAAAAUGUUAAUAAUUUGAUUACUACCUUGUGAUAAUAGCUGUUUGUGCUCCAUUUACCACAAGUAAUGCCAGGAGGCAAUGAAUGACUCAGGCAAAAAGCCCAUCACCUACUCUCUUGGACCAGUCCUGGUACCAAAUUCAUGGAUUGCAUUCUCAGGAAGCAGACGCCAAAACAAGAAUUUCAGCAUGCCAGCAUGCAGGGUGCUUAUUAGGGAUCAAACCUUUGAUAGGAAGUGAAGUGAAACAGCAUUGGUCAGAGAGAGAAGUUGAACUGCGAUACAGACGCAACAGAACUUCAGCCAACUCAGCAGAAAGCUCUGGAACAAAUAUGUCUAUCAGAGUUGUCCUGCAUUUGUAUUCAGACUUCUCUCCUCUACCAGAUGCAGAUUGCCCUGGUUAAGGGUAGGACCUUGGAAAAGACUGCUCUCUGAACCUGAACAGACAGCUAUAAAUUACUGGCCAUAUUUCCUGCAGCUGCAUAGGAAAUCCUCUUUGAAGAGGAAUCUGGGGGUGCAUCUCGGUGUCUAUCACAUUAAACCACUAGGAAGUUUCUCUGUGGAUGAAGCAUUCUCAUCUUUGUUUUUGAACAUGCUGUUUCCUCUUCCAGGCAUAAUCUUCCUUCUGUCGGUCUCCUGGAUAGCAUCUGUCCAUCCCUGGAGAUUCAACUCAGACUCAACCUCCUCUGGAAAGUCUUCUCUGAAAUUUCCAGAUUAUAUUAGCUGCCUAUUCUCUGAGGCCUCAUCACACUUCAUUUAUACUAAUAUUAUAGCCAUUCACAAGCCACAUUGUAAUAAUUUGCUUACACCUUUUGCCCUAUAUAUUAUGAAAUCCUUGAAGACAUGGAUUAUGUGUUUAUUUUUGUAUCCACAACAUCUAAAAUAAUGUCUUUCACAUAAGAAACACUAUGUAGAAAAUCUGAAACAAUUAACCAAAAAAACCCCUCCUGGAACUAAUAAGCAAUUAUAACAAAGUUUCAGGAUGCAAGUUUAAUAAACAAAAGCUAAAUAAACUCUUACCAUAUGAUCCAGCAAUCAUGCUCCUUGGUAAUUAACCAAUGAAUUGAAAACUUAGGUCCACACAAAAAUCUGCACAUGGAUAUUUGCAGCAGCUUUACUCAUAAUUGCCAACACUUGAAAAGAACCAAGAGAUCCUCAGAAGGUGAGUGGAUAAAUGAACUAUGGUAUAUCAGACAAUGGAAUAUUAUUCAACAUGAAAAGAUAAUGAGCUAUCAAGCCUUGAAAAGACAAGGAAGAAACUUAAAUGCAUAUUACUAAGUGAAAGGAGCCAAUCUGUGAAAAGCUACAUACUGUGCUUCUAACUAUAUGACAUUCUGGGAAAGGUAAGACCAUAAAGACAGUUAAAAGAUCAGUGGUUGACAGGGAUUGGCAGGAGAAAAGGGUGAAUAGGCAGAGCACAGAGAAUUUCUCAGACAGUAAAACUAUUCUGUAGGUACUACAGUGAUGGAUAUGUCAUUAUACAUUUGUCAAAACCUAUUGAAUAUACAACAUCAAGAGUGAACCCUCAUGUAAACCAUGAGCUUUGUGUGUAAUGAUGUGUCAAUGUAGGUUUAUCAACUGUAACACGUGUACUCUGGUAGUAGGGGUGUAAGGCAUGUGUGGGGACAGGGAAUAUAUGGGAACUCUGUACUUUCUGCUGUUUGUGAAACUAAAACUGCUCUAAGAAAUAAAGUUUAUU